rnacentral:rRNA from 1 species
UGAUCCUGGCUCAGAUUGAACGCUGGCGGCAGGCUUAACACAUGCAAGUCGAACGGUAACAGAGGAGUGCUUGCACUUUUGCUGACGAGUGGCGGACGGGUGAGUAAUGCUUGGGAAUAUGCCUUAUGGUGGGGGACAACAGUUGGAAACGACUGCUAAUACCGCAUAAUAUCUGAGGAUCAAAGUGGGGGACCUUCGGGCCUCACGCCAUAAGAGUAGCCCAAGUGGGAUUAGCUAGUUGGUAAGGUAAUGGCUUACCAAGGCGACGAUCCCUAGCUGGUUUGAGAGGAUGACCAGCCACACUGGAACUGAGACACGGUCCAGACUCCUACGGGAGGCAGCAGUGGGGAAUAUUGCACAAUGGGCGCAAGCCUGAUGCAGCCAUGCCGCGUGUGUGAAGAAGGCUUUCGGGUUGUAAAGCACUUUCAGCGAGGAGGAAAGGGUGAUGCUUAAUAGGUAUCAUCUGUGACGUUACUCGCAGAAGAAGCACCGGCUAACUCCGUGCCAGCAGCCGCGGUAAUACGGAGGGUGCGAGCGUUAAUCGGAAUUACUGGGCGUAAAGCGCGCGUAGGCGGUUAAUUAAGUCAGAUGUGAAAUCCCAGGGCUCAACCUUGGAACUGCAUUUGAUACUGAUUAACUAGAGUUUUGUAGAGGGUGGUAGAAUUUCAGGUGUAGCGGUGAAAUGCGUAGAGAUCUGAAGGAAUACCAGUGGCGAAGGCGGCCACCUGGACAAAGACUGACGCUGAGGCGCGAAGGCGUGGGGAGCAAACGGGAUUAGAUACCCCGGUAGU